GACGAACGCUGGCGGCGUGCCUAAUACAUGCAAGUCGAACGAGAGCGACCGGUGCUUGCACUGGUCAAUCUAGUGGCGAACGGGUGAGUAACACGUGGGUGACCCGCCCAUCAGAGGGGGAUAACAUCCGGAAACGGAUGCUAAAACCGCAUAGGUCUUCGAGCCGCAUGGCUUGAAGAGGAAAAGAGGCGCAAGCUUCUGCUGAUGGAUGGACCCGCGGUGCAUUAGCUAGUUGGUGAGGUAACGGCUCACCAAGGCCGUGAUGCAUAGCCGACCUGAGAGGGUGAUCGGCCACAUUGGGACUGAGACACGGCCCAAACUCCUACGGGAGGCAGCAGUAGGGAAUCUUCCGCAAUGGACGCAAGUCUGACGGAGCAACGCCGCGUGAGUGAAGAAGGUUUUCGGAUCGUAAAACUCUGUUGUUAGAGAAGAACAAGUGCUAGAGUAACUGUUAGCGCCUUGACGGUAUCUAACCAGAAAGCCACGGCUAACUACGUG
rnacentral:rRNA from 1 species